UGAUCUAUUGAAAACUAGUUGAAGAAAAAGGGGCCAACAGAAGGAGAAAGUGGCUAAUCUCCUACAGAUGGUUAAAUUAUAACCUUCCUGCACAGCUAGGGACUCCUGAUUUAGAGGGUCCAGACUUUGGGGAAGAAAGGAUGUUGCAGGCCAGGAUUUAUGGCUCAACCUAGUCACUGCCUGCUUAUUUCUGGACCCACAGCUCCUGGUGUCUCCCCUUCUCUGGAAGUCUGCAUAGAAUAGUACUGAGGUGUUCAGCCUUCUUACGUGGAAGUCUCAAAAUAGAAAGCAUGGCCAUCAACAAUGUUGGACAGUACACGGAUGUCAUGGUGACCAGGAGGUCUUGAACAAGGCUGUGAUUCAGCAAAGUACUGAAAUCCUAAUGAACAAAUUGGAGAAGAGACGGUCUGUUUCAUCCUUCAGAAGGUGCCCUGGGAGAGAGAACAGGAUAUUUAAUUUCAAUAAAACCUAACAGAUCCCAGUAGGACUGGUUGCUAAUACAAGCAAAGAAGCUGACUUCUUUAGAGCUCGGAGAGGUUUGAGUCUCUUUGUGUAUUAUGAGCUGGAAGGAAAUUCCAGCUUUCUGCUGAAUGGAUGGUCUAUGAAGCUGGUACAAUCAGUGACACCACAUUUAAAGCAGGGGAGAAACGGACAUUCAAGAGGAUGCCAAGCAGUAUUUAAAGAUUCUGAAAUACUUGUAAAAUGUUCAUCCUGCUAGUAUUUCAUACAGUGCAAGAAAUGGAAUCCAAUUGCUUCUUCAGGAAAUAUUUAUAACACUGCCCGCCUUUCCAAUCAGACAGAAUAACCCUUUAUAAAUUUAAUCUCAUCUUUGAUUUUUGUAGAGUUUUCCAGUAGUUUUGCAAAAUGGAAGCAGAGACAACCAUCCAGCUAUCAGUGUCAGUAAGAAAGUGGUGAUGGUGGUGGGGUGGGGGGAGUUUGAGAAAUCAUUUGUAAUAAUG